CAGUAGCCGCGGUAAUACGAAGGGUGCAAGCGUUAAUCGGAAUUACUGGGCGUAAAGCGUGCGUAGGCGGUUUGUUAAGUCAGAUGUGAAAUCCCCGAGCUUAACUUGGGAACUGCAUUUGAAACUGGCAAGCUAGAGUGUGUCAGAGGAUGGUGGAAUUCCCGGUGUAGCGGUGAAAUGCGUAGAGAUCGGGAGGAACAUCAGUGGCGAAGGCGGCCAUCUGGGACAACACUGACGCUGAGGCACGAAAGCGUGGGGAGCAAACAGGAUUAGAUACCCCCGUAGUCCCUGUCUCUUAUAC
rnacentral:rRNA from 1 species